rnacentral:lncRNA from 1 species
GAGAGCUUGGAGCUGUCUUAAUCUGUAUUCUCUUGACUGAACAAUAAAUUUUUAAAUAUAGUUUCCUCUAUUAAACACUUAAGCCUGACCAUCUUAUUAAUUCUAUUUUUUAACAAGGUAAUGUUUUAAAUGUAUAGUUGUAGCGAAACGGCAACAAUAACAAAAAAACUGUGAGCUGUUGUUACUGUUAAAUUUUCUAAAAACCUUUUACAUUGUAAGUACCCAAUCCAUUCUGUCCUUAACUGCACUGCCGUUCUCGUGUUACUGUCGCCUGAGAUGUCCUGAAUUUUCGGAAGCUUCAUCUGCAUGUAUGUCUUUGUCUUUGUCUGAUGUAAGUCAGUUAAAAUGCUUUUAGACGUUUUUGCUUCUAUAAAGCUACGAUUUUUUAGCUUCGAGCUUUUUGGAAAAAAAAAAAUGUUUACAGCCAUAGUUGCUAUUCAGAUUUCUUCCCAGUAGCUCGUACACUCUUUGAAAAUCGAUCUAUUUGAAGAAAAACAGCUGUUUUUCUCGAACUGGGUGUGGGGUGGUGGAGGGUAAGAGAAAGGAAGACCUUUUGUAUAAAAAAAGACUGAAAGCCGCCUCUGAAAACUAGAUUAAAACUGGAAAACAAGCCCUUAGCCGGUUCAAGCCAAACACCUACGUUGAGUCGGUGGUAUUUUCUGUGGCGGUUGGGAUGGCUGGUUUUGCCUUUUGUUUUGAUUUGACUUGUGUUUUCGCCUUUUGUUUCUUAAUGACGAUCACACCAUUGGUAAAUCCAGAGCACUAAACAGCCCUCAGCGAAGCCGCCUUUUUGCCAGCCCAACCCUGGAAAGUUUGCAGUCGUGGAAGGAGCAGAAAUACCACGAGUGUAACUUACAAAGAAGGUCUUGGCCGGAGACCGGAGCCAUGUCUGUGUUAUCCCCACUGUAGACAAUCCUUGCUUCCUCUGGACAUCUGGAGCAGGCCCAAUUUGACUGAGAGCCUUCCCCCACUAAGUUACAGAUCCAGCCCCACCAUCACCACCAGAGUUGAGUCCAAAUCCAACACUCUAGGCCGGGUAGUGCUGGGACUUUGCCAGCCUCCUGCUGAGAAGUGAAUUCUCCCCUUGGCAAACUGCAGCCAGCCAGCCUCCUGGGUCGAGAGCCAAGCCAAAAGAUGUCUGAGAGAAGAAACCUGGGGUCCUGCAAAGGUAAGUGGGUCCCAGCCCACUCUCAAUCCCCCUCUCUCUGUGUGAUUGCUAUUCCACACUGGAGUCACCUGCUCUGUGCUUCUGAGGAACCUCACCUCUGGCACAUCAAUGGAAAUUGUCCUUCCCUUUUUAUUUAUUUUUAUUUAUUUUUUAUUUUUUGCCACCCUCACUGGCCACUAAGAGAUAGCCCUAGCUCCUCCUCUCCUGCCUGGUUUUGACAGGACUCACUCCAUUGAGUCCUGUCUCGUCUCUUUGCAGCCCUCCUCCUCCCCCCCCCCCCCCUUCAGCCAGCACUUAGGCCCUCCCUGAUUUAGCCCGUUACCUUGACAACCACUUGGGCCUGUCUCCCUCAUCACCACUGAAAACCUGAAGGUGGUUUUCCAGCUGCGGUACAUUUGCCCAAGUUGGGCACCCCUCCAGCUUCUAUUGGCUCGCCCUCUAUACAGCUGUACCCAAUAUAACAAACACAACCUUCCUGGCCCCUCAGCUGUAGUCUCGAAAUUGAUCUCACUGGUCCCGGGAACUCCGUCAAUACUGCCUCCUCUAGACUGAGCUCCUCACAGGCAGGAACAUGGUUGUUUCUCAAUAAACAAGUUGCAAAAAAA